rnacentral:rRNA from 1 species
CCUACGGGCGGCCGCAGUGGGGAAUAUUGGACAAUGGGGGCAACCCUGAUCCAGCCAUGCCGCGUGUGUGAAGAAGGCCCUCGGGUUGUAAAGCACUUUCAGUGAGGAAGAACGCCUGGUGGUUAAUACCCAUCAGGAAAGACAUCACUCACAGAAGAAGCACCGGCUAACUCCGUGCCAGCAGCCGCGGUAAUACGGAGGGUGCGAGCGUUAAUCGGAAUUACUGGGCGUAAAGCGCGCGUAGGUGGCUUGAUAAGCCGGUUGUGAAAGCCCCGGGCUCAACCUGGGAACGGCAUCCGGAACUGUCAAGCUAGAGUGCAGGAGAGGAAGGUAGAAUUCCCGGUGUAGCGGUGAAAUGCGUAGAGAUCGGGAGGAAUACCAGUGGCGAAGGCGGCCUUCUGGACUGACACUGACACUGAGGUGCGAAAGCGUGGGUAGCAAACAGGAUUAGAUACCCCAGUAGUC